rnacentral:sRNA from 1 species
GGCUGAUGAGCUACUUGAGACGGACCGGCUGACGAGAUGCUUCAGACGGGUGAGAUGACGAGCUGGUUGAGACGGGCGAUCUGACGAGUUGGUCUUUGUCUCUAAGUGUCCUCGCGGAAUCCCCCCCCUUUGACAAGACAUGCUAUUCCGUAUUUAUAGCCUUCUGCGUGUAGGGCA